rnacentral:rRNA from 1 species
GACGGAGGGGGCUAGCGUUGUUCGGAAUGACUGGGCGUAAAGGGCGCGUAGGCGGUUUUUUAAGUGAGGCGUGAAAGCCCUGGGCUUAACCCAGGAGGUGCGUUUCAUACUGGAAAGCUUGAGUACGAGAGAGGAAAGUGGAAUUCCUAGUGUAGAGGUGAAAUUCGUAGAUAUUAGGAAGAACACCAGUGGCGAAGGCGGCUUUCUGGCUCGUAACUGACGCUGAGGCGCGAAAGCGUGGGGAGCAAACAGG